rnacentral:tRNA from 1 species
GGGGUUGUGGCUCAGCAGUAGAGCACUUGCCUUACAUGUGUGAGACACUGGGUUCAAUCCUCAGCACCA